UAUUGAACAUUGCCCUUCAUAUGCAAAGUACACCUCUCAGCGUACUAGCAAUGCAAUAUGCUGUUAUAUGAAGUUGUUACUUCUAAAUAAUUCCCUAUUUAUACCUGAACCUGACUGUUUUUUAUGCAGUUUUUCGAUAUGAGCUCUCUACAGACAACAAUACUCCAGGGGUGCCUACUGCCUACUCAACAAUGGUUACCUCAGAGUUCCAACAUCCAAGGUGUACCAUACGUGGAAACUCAAGAACCUAGUUCUAUGUUCUCUGAUAUUAUCAGAAACGCACAAGGCACUAGCACAUCUCGUCAUGGGAAUCCAUUUGCGUAGACAGAUAUCGGCCAAGGCAACGUGACCGCUGCUAGUGAUACCAUGGAUGCUUGCAAGUUUUGAUAGUGCACUGACAAAACUUGUUGUUCCCUUCUUUCUUGUCAUGAGUUUACGAGCAAACUGGAAUAUUUAAACAGUUGUUCUCUUCUAUCUUUUCUUUCACAUUUUCCUCUCUUUCCAUUGUGUUUCUUUUUUUCCUUCAUAGAUUACAAGCAAACUGGAAUAUGUAAACAUGUCUUUGAGUGUUGACUUAGAAAUGGAAAUGAAUGUAACUAUUUUGCAGUGGGAGCAAAUUUUUUGUU